AGCCCAGAGCCUGAAUCAGUGUGUGUGUUAGUGGAAGCGUCUGGAAAGGCGCGCGAUACAGGGUGACAGCCCCGUACACAAAAAUGCACAUGCUGUGAGCUCGAUGAGUAGGGCGGGACACGUGGUAUCCUGUCUGAAUAUGGGGGGACCAUCCUCCAAGGCUAAAUACUCCUGACUGACCGAUAGUGAACCAGUACCGUGAGGGAAAGGCGAAAAGAACCCCGGCGAGGGGAGUGAAAAAGAACCUGAAACCGUGUACGUACAAGCAGUGGGAGCACGCUUAGGCGUGUGACUGCGUACCUUUUGUAUAAUGGGUCAGCGACUUAUAUUCUGUAGCAAGGUUAACCGAAUAGGGGAGCCGAAGGGAAACCGAGUCUUAACUGGGCGUUAAGUUGCAGGGUAUAGACCCGAAACCCGGUGAUCUAGCCAUGGGCAGGUUGAAGGUUGGGUAACACUAACUGGAGGACCGAACCGACUAAUGUUGAAAAAUUAGCGGAUGACUUGUGGCUGGGGGUGAAAGGCCAAUCAAACCGGGAGAUAGCUGGUUCUCCCCGAAAGCUAUUUAGGUAGCGCCUCGUGAACUCAUCUCCGGGGGUAGAGCACUGUUUCGGCAAGGGGGUCAUCCCGACUUACCAACCCGAUGCAAACUGCGAAUACCGGAGAAUGUUAUCACGGGAGACACACGGCGGGUGCUAACGUCCGUCGUGAAGAGGGAAACAACCCAGACCGCCAGCUAAGGUCCCAAAGUCAUGGUUAAGUGGGAAACGAUGUGGGAAGGCCCAGACAGCCAGGAUGUUGGCUUAGAAGCAGCCAUCAUUUAAAGAAAGCGUAAUAGCUCACUGGUCGAGUCGGCCUGCGCGGAAGAUGUAACGGGGCUAAACCAUGCACCGAAGCUGCGGCAGCGACGCUUAUGCGUUGUUGGGUAGGGGAGCGUUCUGUAAGCCUGUGAAGGUGUACUGUGAGGUAUGCUGGAGGUAUCAGAAGUGCGAAUGCUGACAUAAGUAACGAUAAAGCGGGUGAAAAGCCCGCUCGCCGGAAGACCAAGGGUUCCUGUCCAACGUUAAUCGGGGCAGGGUGAGUCGACCCCUAAGGCGAGGCCGAAAGGCGUAGUCGAUGGGAAACAGGUUAAUAUUCCUGUACUUGGUGUUACUGCGAAGGGGGGACGGAGAAGGCUAUGUUGGCCGGGCGACGGUUGUCCCGGUUUAAGCGUGUAGGCUGGUUUUCCAGGCAAAUCCGGAAAAUCAAGGCUGAGGCGUGAUGACGAGGCACUACGGUGCUGAAGCAACAAAUGCCCUGCUUCCAGGAAAAGCCUCUAAGCAUCAGGUAACAUCAAAUCGUACCCCAAACCGACACAGGUGGUCAGGUAGAGAAUACCAAGGCGCUUGAGAGAACUCGGGUGAAGGAACUAGGCAAAAUGGUGCCGUAACUUCGGGAGAAGGCACGCUGAUAUGUAGGUGAAGCGACUUGCUCGUGGAGCUGAAAUCAGUCGAAGAUACCAGCUGGCUGCAACUGUUUAUUAAAAACACAGCACUGUGCAAACACGAAAGUGGACGUAUACGGUGUGACGCCUGCCCGGUGCCGGAAGGUUAAUUGAUGGGGUCAGCGCAAGCGAAGCUCUUGAUCGAAGCCCCGGUAAACGGCGGCCGUAACUAUAACGGUCCUAAGGUAGCGAAAUUCCUUGUCGGGUAAGUUCCGACCUGCACGAAUGGCGUAAUGAUGGCCAGGCUGUCUCCACCCGAGACUCAGUGAAAUUGAACUCGCUGUGAAGAUGCAGUGUACCCGCGGCAAGACGGAAAGACCCCGUGAACCUUUACUAUAGCUUGACACUGAACAUUGAGCCUUGAUGUGUAGGAUAGGUGGGAGGCUUUGAAGUGUGGACGCCAGUCUGCAUGGAGCCGACCUUGAAAUACCACCCUUUAAUGUUUGAUGUUCUAACGUUGACCCGUAAUCCGGGUUGCGGACAGUGUCUGGUGGGUAGUUUGACUGGGGCGGUCUCCUCCUAAAGAGUAACGGAGGAGCACGAAGGUUGGCUAAUCCUGGUCGGACAUCAGGAGGUUAGUGCAAUGGCAUAAGCCAGCUUGACUGCGAGCGUGACGGCGCGAGCAGGUGCGAAAGCAGGUCAUAGUGAUCCGGUGGUUCUGAAUGGAAGGGCCAUCGCUCAACGGAUAAAAGGUACUCCGGGGAUAACAGGCUGAUACCGCCCAAGAGUUCAUAUCGACGGCGGUGUUUGGCACCUCGAUGUCGGCUCAUCACAUCCUGGGGCUGAAGUAGGUCCCAAGGGUAUGGCUGUUCGCCAUUUAAAGUGGUACGCGAGCUGGGUUUAGAACGUCGUGAGACAGUUCGGUCCCUAUCUGCCGUGGGCGCUGGAGAACUGAGGGGGGCUGCUCCUAGUACGAGAGGACCGGAGUGGACGCAUCACUGGUGUUCGGGUUGUCAUGCCAAUGGCACUGCCCGGUAGCUAAAUGCGGAAGAGAUAAGUGCUGAAAGCAUCUAAGCACGAAACUUGCCCCGAGAUGAGUUCUCCCUGACUCCUUGAGAGUCCUGAAGGAACGUUGAAGACGACGACGUUGAUAGGCCGGGUGUGUAAGCGCAGCGAUGCGUUGAGCUAACCGGUACUAAUGAACCGUGAGGCUUAU
rnacentral:rRNA from 1 species